rnacentral:rRNA from 1 species
UACAGAGGGGGGCAAGCGUUGUUCGGAAUUACUGGGCGUAAAGGGCGCGUAGGCGGCCUUCUAAGUCGAACGUGAAAUCCCCGGGCUCAACCCGGGAACUGCGUCCGAGACUGGAAGGCUCGAAUCCGGGAGAGGGAUGUGGAAUUCCAGGUGUAGCGGUGAAAUGCGUAGAUAUCUGGAGGAACAUCGGUGGCGAAGGCGGCAUCCUGGACCGGUAUUGA